AGUGAACGCUGGCGGUAGGCCUAACACAUGCAAGUCGAACGGCAGCACAGUAAGAGCUUGCUCUUACGGGUGGCGAGUGGCGGACGGGUGAGGAAUACAUCGGAAUCUACUUUUUCGUGGGGGAUAACGUAGGGAAACUUACGCUGAUACCGCAUACGACCUACGGGUGAAAGCAGGGGAUCUUCGGACCUUGCGCGAUUGAAUGAGCCGAUGUCGGAUUAGCUAGUUGGCGGGGUAAAGGCCCACCAAGGCGACGAUCCGUAGCUGGUCUGAGAGGAUGAUCAGCCACACUGGAACUGAGACACGGUCCAGACUCCUACGGGAGGCAGCAGUGGGGAAUAUUGGACAAUGGGCGCAAGCCUGAUCCAGCCAUACCGCGUGGGUGAAGAAGGCCUUCGGGUUGUAAAGCCCUUUUGUUGGGAAAGAAAAGCAGCAGGUUAAUACCCCGCUGUUCUGACGGUACCCAAAGAAUAAGCACCGGCCAACUUCGUG
rnacentral:rRNA from 1 species